UGGGGAAUAUUGGACAAUGGGCGCAAGCCUGAUCCAGCCAUGCCGCGUGAGUGAUGAAGGCCCUAGGGUUGUAAAGCUCUUUCACCGGUGAAGAUAAUGACGGUAACCGGAGAAGAAGCCCCGGCUAACUUCGUGCCAGCAGCCGCGGUAAUACGAAGGGGGCUAGCGUUGUUCGGAUUUACUGGGCGUAAAGCGCACGUAGGCGGACUUUUAAGUCAGGGGUGAAAUCCCGGGGCUCAACCCCGGAACUGCCUUUGAUACUGGAAGUCUGGAGUAUGGUAGAGGUGAGUGGAAUUCCGAGUGUAGAGGUGAAAUUCGUGGAUAUUCGGAGAAACACCAGUGGCGAAGGCGGCUCACUGGACCAUUACUGACGCUGAGGUGCGAAAGCAGGGGGAGCAAACAGG
rnacentral:rRNA from 1 species